GACGAACGCUGGCGGCGUGCCUAACACAUGCAAGUCGAACGGGGCAGUCUCUUCGGAGACUGCUUAGUGGCGAACGGGUGAGUAACGCGUGAGGAACCUGCCUUUCAGUGGGGACAACAGUUGGAAACGACUGCUAAUACCGCAUAACAUCUUCUGGGGACAUCCCCUAAAGAUCAAAACUUUAUGUGCUGAAAGAUGGCCUCGCGUCUGAUUAGCUAGUUGGUGAGGUAACGGCCCACCAAGGCGACGAUCAGUAGCCGGUCUGGGAGGAUGAACGGCCACAUUGGGACUGAGAUACGGCCCAGACUCCUACGGGAGGCAGCAGUGGGGAAUAUUGGGCAAUGGGGGAAACCCUGACCCAGCAACGCCGCGUGAAGGAAGAAGGCCUUCGGGUUGUAAACUUCUUUUACCAGGGACGAAGAACGUGACGGUACCUGGAGAAAAAGCAACGGCUAACUACGUGCCAGCAGCCGCCGUAACAC
rnacentral:rRNA from 1 species